GACGAACGCUGGCGGCGUGCUUAACACAUGCAAGUCGAACGGAAAGGCCCUGUUUUUGUGGGGUGCUCGGGUGGCGAACGGGUGAGUAACACGUGAGUUACCUGCCCUUGACUUUUGGAUAACUUCAGGAAACUGGGGCUAAUACCGGAUAGGAGCUCCUGCUGCAUGAUGGGGGAUGGAAAGUUUCUGCGGGUGGGGAUGGACUCGCGGCUUCUCCGCUUUGUGGUGGGGUAGUGGCUUACCAAGGCUUUGACGGGUCGCCGGCCUGAGGGGGUCACCGGCCACUUUGGGACUGAGAUACGGCAAAGUCCCCUAGGAGAGAGAACAGUGGGGAAUUGUACACAAGGGGGGGGAGCCUGGUACAGAAACGCCGCGCGCGGGAAGAGGGCCUGCGGGGUGUAAACCGCUUUCGCCUGUGACGGAGCGUGAGUGACGGUAAUAGGUAAAGAAGCACCGGCUAACUACGUG
rnacentral:rRNA from 1 species